rnacentral:ncRNA from 1 species
AUGUGAAAAAGGCAAACUUAUUGAAAAAUAAGGACGCAAAGCCACGGGUCUAAGGUGCAAAUGCACUAUGAUCGCCGGGUUGCCAAA